AUGGCUCAGGAUGAACGCUAGCGACAGGCCUAACACAUGCAAGUCGAGGGGCAGCACAAGGAACAAUCUGAGGUGGCGACCGGCGCACGGGUGAGUAACACGUAUGCAACCUGCCUGUAAGCGGGGAAUAACCCGUUGAAAGACGGACUAAUACCGCAUAAUACUAAAUUACUGCAUGGUAAUUUAUUUAAACAUUUAUGGCUUACAGAUGGGCAUGCGCAUGAUUAGCUAGUUGGAGAGGUAACGGCUCCCCAAGGCAACGAUCAUUAGGGGUUCUGAGAGGAAGGUCCCCCCACACUGGUACUGAGACACGGACCAGACUCCUACGGGAGGCAGCAGUGAGGAAUAUUGGUCAAUGGACGAGAGUCUGAACCAGCCAAGUCGCGUGCAGGAAGAAUUGUCCUAUGGAUUGUAAACUGCUUUUGCAGGGGAAUAAAGUGCAUCACGUGUGAUGUUUUGUAUGUACUCUGCGAAUAAGGAUCGGCUAACUCCGUGCCAGCCGCCGC
rnacentral:rRNA from 1 species